rnacentral:rRNA from 1 species
UACGAAGGGGGCUAGCGUUGUUCGGAAUCACUGGGCGUAAAGGGCGCGUAGGCGGCUUGACAAGUCAGGUGUGAAAGCCCCGGGCUCAACCCGGGAAUUGCACUUGAUACUGUCUCGCUAGAGUCCGGGAGAGGAUGGCGGAAUUCCCAGUGUAGAGGUGAAAUUCGUAGAUAUUGGGAAGAACACCGGUGGCGAAGGCGGCCAUCUGGACCGGUACUGACGCUGAGGCGCGAAAGCGUGGGGAGCAAACAGG